AUUCGAGCGGACAGAAGGGAGCUUGCUCCCGGAUGUUAGCGGCGGACGGGUGAGUAACACGUGGGUAACCUGCCUGUAAGACUGGGAUAACUCCGGGAAACCGGAGCUAAUACCGGAUAGUUCCUUGAACCGCAUGGUUCAAGGAUGAAAGACGGUUUCGGCUGUCACUUACAGAUGGACCCGCGGCGCAUUAGCUAGUUGGUGGGGUAAUGGCUCACCAAGGCGACGAUGCGUAGCCGACCUGAGAGGGUGAUCGGCCACACUGGGACUGAGACACGGCCCAGACUCCUACGGGAGGCAGCAGUAGGGAAUCUUCCGCAAUGGACGAAAGUCUGACGGAGCAACGCCGCGUGAGUGAUGAAGGUUUUCGGAUCGUAAAGCUCUGUUGUUAGGGAAGAACAAGUGCGAGAGUAACUGCUCGCACCUUGACGGUACCUAACCAGAAAGCCACGGCUAACUACGUGCCAGCAGCCGCGGUAAUACGUAGGUGGCAAGCGUUGUCCGGAAUUAUUGGGCGUAAAGGGCUCGCAGGCGGUUUCUUAAGUCUGAUGUGAAAGCCCCCGGCUCAACCGGGGAGGGUCAUUGGAAACUGGGAAACUUGAGUGCAGAAGAGGAGAGUGGAAUUCCACGUGUAGCGGUGAAAUGCGUAGAGAUGUGGAGGAACACCAGUGGCGAAAGGCGACUCUCUGGUCUGUA
rnacentral:rRNA from 1 species